rnacentral:tRNA from 1 species
AUUUAAAUAGUUUAAAAAAAAUAUUGAUUUGUGGAGUCAAUGAUAUAAAUU